GGCCGGUUGGCCCAAUGGCAAGGCGUCUGACUACGACUCCCGGAUCUCCAUCUAGAGAUCUGAAGUUGUGUGCAAUCAGGAGAUUCUGGGUUCGACCCCCAGGCUGGUCA
rnacentral:tRNA from 2 species